AGCGCCCGGGCUCCUCCUCCCGCGCUACCCAAGGAGGCGGGCUGUGCUCUUUUCAAGGUCCCGCCAAAGGGCCCCGCCCUCCCGGAGGGAGACCUUCGCAGCCUUCCCUCGUACACUAGGCCGGGGACCGCCGGACCGGAAGCUGCGGGGUCUCGGAGUCCCGGCUCGUUCUCGCCUAGCCGCAAGCCGCGGGUGCGCAUGCUCCGCGAAGGCCCGCACAGGGCCCGGGUGAACCCUGAUAGAGCCAUCGCGAGGCGGGGUUAUUGCUGGAAUGGUGGUGGUUUGGAGAACUCUUUUUUGGUGAGAUGGUGAAGUGGGAAGGUGCACCCCGUUUCCAGUGGGCUCCCACUUGGUGCUGGCUUGGCUUCUUGGAAAGAGAGUGAAAAGUCCGAGCCUAAGAGCUGCCACUGAACUCCACAGCCUUCGCCUUGCCUCCUCCUGUUUGGAAGACCCAGGUCCAGUGAGCGCAGUCCUGCUUCCCAACUAGGCGCCCGUCCACUGAGUGCUGUGCUGAAGGAUCCAUGGGGAUAUCGUCACAUCAACCUAAAUGCCUGGGGCGCUCUUACCAUCCCCCUUUACAGAUGAGAAAAUUGAGGUGUGGAGAGUUAACCUAGUCCAGGGGACAUGCCAUCUGGUUCCAGAAACAGCGCUCUCAUCCGCCGUGCAGCCUCAAGGUUCUGGAAGGACCCACCUCUUGAUUUUACCCACCUCCCAGUGAGUGGUUUGAAUGCAAACACCCAGCUGUGCUGAAAGCCACAGUCUUCGGGCUGCCAACUAACGCACACCCAGUUGCUCUCUUUCCCCACCCACGAAAGGAAUGGGUCAGGAUGUUAUGUAAGUGGUUAGACAUGUGCCAUUGUCUCACCGAACCCCCAACAUGUAAAAAUUAUUAUUCCCAUUU